rnacentral:rRNA from 1 species
UACGUAGGGUGCGAGCGUUGUCCGGAAUUAUUGGGCGUAAAGAGCUCGUAGGCGGUUUGUUGCGUCGGCCGUGAAAACUUGGGGCUUAACCCCGAGCCUGCGGUCGAUACGGGCAGACUUGAGUUCGGCAGGGGAGACUGGAAUUCCUGGUGUAGCGGUGAAAUGCGCAGAUAUCGGGAGGAACACCAGUGGCGAAGGCGGCCUUCUGGCUCGCAACUGACGCUGUAGCGCGAAAGCGUGGGGAGCGAACGGG